rnacentral:rRNA from 1 species
CUCGCCUACAUGAAGUUGGAAUCGCUAGUAAUCGCGAAUCAGAAUGUCGCGGUGAAUACGUUCCCGGGUCUUGUACACACCGCCCGUCACACCACGAGAGUUUACAACACCCGAAGUCAGUGGCCUAACCGCAAGGGAGGGAGCUGCCUAAGGUGGGGUAGAUGAUUGGGGUGAAGUCGUAACAAGGUAAC